rnacentral:rRNA from 1 species
CCUACGGGAGGCAGCAGUGAGGAAUAUUGGUCAAUGGACGAGAGUCUGAACCAGCCAAGUAGCGUGAAGGAUGACUGCCCUAUGGGUUGUAAACUUCUUUUAUAUGGGAAUAAAAUGUUCCACGUGUGGGAUUUUGUAUGUACCAUAUGAAUAAGGAUCGGCUAACGCCGUGCCAGCAGCCGCGGUAAUACGGGGGAUCCGAGCGUUAUCCGGAUUUAUUUGGUUUAAAGGGAGCGUAGGUGGAGUGUUAAGUCAGUUGUGAAAGUUUGCGGCUCAACGGUAAAAUUGCAGUUGAAACUGGCAGUCUUGAGUACAGUAGAGGUGGGCGGAAUUCGUGGUGUAGCGGUGAAAUGCUUAGAUAUCACGAAGAACUCCGAUUGCGAAGGCAGCUCACUGGACUGCAACUGACACUGAGGCUCGAAAGUGUGGGGAGCAAACAGGAUUAGAUACCCCAGUAGUC